rnacentral:rRNA from 1 species
GAACGAAAGAGUUUGAUCCUGGCUCAGAUUGAACGCUGGCGGCAUGCUUUACACAUGCAAGUCGAACGGUAACAGGGACUUCGGUCUGCUGACGAGUGGCGAACGGGUGAGUAAUGCAUCGGAACGUACCGAGUAAUGGGGGAUAACGCAUCGAAAGGUGUGCUAAUACCGCAUACGCCCUGAGGGGGAAAGCGGGGGAUCGAAAGACCUCGCGUUAUUCGAGCGGCCGAUGCCGGAUUAGCUAGUUGGUGGGGUAAAGGCUCACCAAGGCGACGAUCCGUAGCAGGUCUGAGAGGAUGAUCUGCCACACUGGGACUGAGACACGGCCCAGACUCCUACGGGAGGCAGCAGUGGGGAAUUUUGGACAAUGGGGGCAACCCUGAUCCAGCCAUGCCGCGUGUCUGAAGAAGGCCUUCGGGUUGUAAAGGACUUUUGUCAGGGAGGAAAUCCCUAAGGUUAAUACCCUUGGGGGAUGACAGUACCUGAAGAAUAAGCACCGGCUAACUACGUGCCAGCAGCCGCGGUAAUACGUAGGGUGCAAGCGUUAAUCGGAAUUACUGGGCGUAAAGCGUGCGCAGGCGGUUUGAAAAGUCAGCUGUGAAAGCCCCGGGCUCAACCUGGGAACUGCGGUUGAAACUCUCAAGCUAGAGUGCGUCAGAGGGG